UACGGGGGGGACAAGCGUUGUUCGGAAUUACUGGGCGUAAAGGGCUCGUAGGCGGCCAACUAAGUCCGACGUGAAAUCCCCAGGCUUAACCUGGGAACUGCGUCGGAUACUGGAUGGCUUGAAUUCGGGAGAGGGAUGCAGAAUUCCAGGUGUAGCGGUGAAAUGCGUAGAUAUCUGGAGGAAUACCGGUGGCGAAGGCGGCAUCCUGGACCGAGAUUGACGCUGAGGCUCGAAAGCAUGGGGAGCAAACAGG
rnacentral:rRNA from 1 species